UAAAGACAGACAUAUAUGUGAAGUUUUCUGGAAGUACUCAACGUGGCGGUGAUACAAACACGGCCUAAGGAAGACUUGAAUAGGCAGGAGGGGGCCCGCAAUCUGGAGCGCCCGUGACGUCAGCUUGUCACGUGACUGGGCCCCUGCUAUGAGGCCCAGUCAGUUGGACCACGCACGCUCGAUGGGGUUGUAACACUGUGUUUUGUGUUAAAUAGUGCGGAUUUCGUCGUGAUUAAUGCGUCAUUGCCAGUGAAUCAGUGCUGCGUGAUCGCGGUGUCGUCGUGGUGUGUCGUAUAAAGUCUCAGCGUGUUCCUUAGAGGCUCCGUGGCUUUGCGCAGACGCGGUGCGAAUAUGAGAGUAAGCUUGAUCGUAGGCCGCUUGGUUCCCUGGGCAGGCCCCGCCGCUGCCUUUCGCCACGUGUGUUAGGGUGUGAUUGCGGGACGCCGGGAGUGACUCAGACGGACUCCCGCGGAGAGUGAUUGAAAAGUAACAGUGAUCGCCGUGGAAGGUGCCUCAGCCCGCAGUGAUGAGCUGGGCACCGCGACACUGCUGGCCUCGCCCUGAAGACAGAUUCUCUCAGAGAAUUUAAGUUGCUGUUAGUUAGAAAAGAAAGAAGUCAUAAGGACAACGGACCCCCACCCCCACGUAACUAGAGUCGUGCAGCCCUCCACCCUCGCUGCGUCCUCUCACUCACUCCGUAGCUCUAAGACUAAACAUAAGUUAAAGUAUAAGUGUAGCGUGCAAGGAGAGUCCGGCCCGCACAGGUCCGCCUUCACUGCCACCGUUCCGCGGGCUGUGCUUAGGCUGCAUUUUGGUGCUCAUCUGACUCACUGAUUUUGUUACUCUUAGUUUUCCUCUUUAUUUCUAGUUACUGACAUAAUUCCUUAGUUGCAUGGCCAUUCCAAUUAUUUGUAAUUGUUCAAAUUAUGUUAUAAUUUAACCUUAUAAAUGUAUUUCUGUU